rnacentral:tRNA from 1 species
GGUGUUGUGGCUCAGUGGUAGAGCGCUUGCCUCGCAUGUGUGAAGCACUGGGUUUGAUCCUCAGCACCA